rnacentral:rRNA from 1 species
AUGAACAAUGGCAACUUCGUCCUACAGAGCUCCUCAAACCCAUCCAUAGUCUUCUGGCAGAGCUUUGACUACCCAACCGAUACCCUUCUCGCCGGCGCAAAGAUUGGCUGGGAUAAGACCACCGGUCUGAACCGCCGCCUUGUUUCGAGGAAAAAUCUGAUUGACCAGGCUCCUGGUCUCUACACUCUGGGGCUAGGACAGAAUAGGCUUGGUCAUCUCCUGUGGAACUCAACCCUAGAAUUCUGGACCAGUGGGGCAUGGAACGGCCGUUACUUCAACCUAGCACCCGAGAUGAUUGGCGCCUUGACACCAAAUUUCACAUUCAUAAACACUGAGAAUGAGUCCACCUUCAUGUACACAUUGCGGGAUGACACGGCCAUUGUGCAAUGUGCAAUAGAUGUCUAUGGCCAAGGGCUGGUGGGUGCAUGGUUGGAACCCAUACAUAACUGGUUGAUCAAUUACAGGCAGCCUAUCUUUCAAUGCGACGUCUUUGCAACCUGUGGACCUUUCACAAUCUGUAGAGAAAAUGCGGAUCCACUCUGCAGCUGCAUGAAGGGUUUCUCGCUGGGAUCACCCAAGGACUGGGAUCUGGGAGACCGAAGCCAUGGGUGCAGGAGGAACACUCCAUUAGGCUGUGAGAAUGAGGGAAACAAGCCAGGUCUUGCAGCUAAGUUCUACCCCGUGCAAGGUAUGAGGUUGCCCCAUGAGGGAGCAAAAGUACCGGCCGCGACAAGUGGAGAUGACUGCCAACGGAUUUGCUUGGGCAACUGUUCUUGCACUGCAUAUUCCUACGGUAAAGGUGGCUGCUCUAUUUGGCAUGGGAAAUUGUACAAUGUAAAACAACAAUCUGAUGCUUCUUCAGCAGCAAACGGCGAUACGCUUUAUAUCCGCCUUGCCGCAGCAGAGCUGCCAGAAAGUGUGGUAAGUAAGAAGCAGAGUGGAAUCAACCUCGUCGGUGCUGCGGUUGGUGCAAGCGCUGCUGCUCUUGUCCUGGUGAUUCUUGGAUUGGUGAUUUGGAGUAAAAAAGGGAAGUGGUUUACUAGCACGCCGGUAAAUGGAGUUGGGAUCAUUUCAUUUCGGUAUGCUGAUUUGCAACGUGCAACUAAGAACUUCACAGAAAGGUUAGGAGGGGGCAGUUUCGGUUCUGUAUUCAAGGGGUAUCUAAGUGACUCAGUCACCUUGGCAGUGAAAAGACUUGAAGGUGCCCAUCAAGGAGAUAAGCAAUUCAGAGCAGAAGUGAGUUCAGUUGGAAUCAUCCAGCACAUCAACUUAGUCAAACUGAUAGGGUUUUGUUGCAAAGGCGGCGAGAGGCUGCUUGUGUAUGAAUUCAUGCCGAAUCAAUCCCUUGAUGUGCAUCUAUUUAAGGCCAAUGGUACAGUUUUGGACUGGAGUCUCAGAUACCAGAUAGCUAUUGGAGUUGCCAGAGGCCUAGCCUACUUGCACACUGGUUGUCGGGAUUGCAUUAUACAUUGUGAUAUCAAGCCAGAAAACAUACUUCUCGACACUUCAUUCGUAGCCAAAAUUGCAGACUUUGGAAUGGCAAAGGUUUUGGGGAGAGAAUUUAGUCAAGCAUUGACUACAACGAGAGGAACCAUUGGAUAUCUUGCUCCUGAAUGGAUUAGCGGAUCAGCUGUUACAUCUAAAGUCGAUGUUUACAGUUAUGGGAUGGUUUUGUUUGAAAUCAUAUCAGGGAGGAGAAAUUCAAGUCAAGUUGGGGAUGGUGAUUAUUCAGCCUUUUUUCCGCUACAAGUUGCACGAAAGCUUCUCAGUGGAGAAAUUGGAAGUCUGGUAGACCCAAAUUUGCAAGGUGACGUGAACCUUGAGGAGGUUGCAAGAGUUUGCAAAGUUGCAUGUUGGUGCAUUCAAGAUAAUGAGUUUGAUCGACCAACCAUGGCCGAGGUGGUGCAGUUUCUUGAGGGUGUUAUUGAGGUUGAUAUGCCUCGAGUGCCGAGACUACUGAAUGCAAUCACAGCAGGAGUAGGUUCACCAACAUCUGACACUUAG